UAUAGAUGGAUCCGCGCUGCAUUAGCUAGUUGGUAAGGUAACGGCUUACCAAGGCAACGAUGCAUAGCCGACCUGAGAGGGUGAUCGGCCACACUGGAACUGAGACACGGUCCAGACUCCUACGGGAGGCAGCAGUAGGGAAUCUUCCGCAAUGGGCGAAAGCCUGACGGAGCAACGCCGCGUGAGUGAUGAAGGUCUUCGGAUCGUAA
rnacentral:rRNA from 1 species